rnacentral:rRNA from 1 species
AACGAACGCUGGCGGCAUGCCUAACACAUGCAAGUCGAACGAGACCUUCGGGUCUAGUGGCGCACGGGUGCGUAACGCGUGGGAAUCUACCCUUGGGUUCGGAAUAACUCAGAGAAAUUUGAGCUAAUACCGGAUGAUGUCGCAAGACCAAAGAUUUAUCGCCCAAGGAUGAGCCCGCGUAGGAUUAGCUUGUUGGUGAGGUAAAAGCUCACCAAGGCGACGAUCCUUAGCUGGUCUGAGAGGAUGAUCAGCCACACUGGGACUGAGACACGGCCCAGACUCCUACGGGAGGCAGCAGUGGGGAAUAUUGGACAAUGGGCGAAAGCCUGAUCCAGCAAUGCCGCGUGAGUGAUGAAGGCCUUAGGGUUGUAAAAGCUCUUUUACCCGGGAUGAUAAUGACAGUACCGGGAGAAUAAGCCCCGGCUAACUCCGUGCCAGCAGCCGCGGUAAU